rnacentral:rRNA from 1 species
GUCCACGCCGUAAACGAUGUCUACUAGCCGUUGGGUUCCUUGAGGACUUAGUGGCGCAGCUAACGCAAUAAGUAGACCGCCUGGGGAGUACGGUCGCAAGAUUAAAACUCAAAUGAAUUGACGGGGGCCCCGCACAAGCGGUGGAGCAUGUGGUUUAAUUCGACGCAACGCGAAGAACCUUACCAGGUCUUGACAUCCAGAGAACUUUCCAGAGAUGGAUUGGUGCCUUCGGGAGCUCUGAGACAGGUGCUGCAUGGCUGUCGU